rnacentral:rRNA from 1 species
GUGGGGAAUAUUGGACAAUGGGCGCAAGCCUGAUCCAGCCAUGCCGCGUGAGUGAUGAAGGCCCUAGGGUUGUAAAGCUCUUUCACCGGAGAAGAUAAUGACGGUAUCCGGAGAAGAAGCCCCGGCUAACUUCGUGCCAGCAGCCGCGGUAAUACGAAGGGAGCUAGCGUUGUUCGGAAUUACUGGGCGUAAAGCGCACGUAGGCGGACAUUUAAGUCAGGGGUGAAAUCCCGGAGCUCAACUCCGGAACUGCCUUUGAUACUGGGUGUCUGGAGUAUGGAAGAGGUGAAUGGAAUUCCGAGUGUAGAGGUGAAAUUCGUAGAUAUUCGGAAGAACACCAGUGGCGAAGGCGACUCACUGGCCCGUUACUGACGCUGAGGCGCGAAAGCGUGGGGAGCAAACAGGAUUAGAAACCCUUGUAGUCC